rnacentral:piRNA from 2 species
UCUCAAAAAAGAAGACAAAGAAAGAGA